rnacentral:lncRNA from 1 species
GAGACUCUUAUUGAGCAUUGUAAUGACCCGAGUAUUGUAAUGACCCGACCUGCUAUUGAGUUGAGACCUUUAUUGGGCAUUUUAAAGACCCUAUCCGAUAGCAAUAAUAACUCGUUGGAAGCAAACCACCGGGCCAAAAUACUUAGGGCGCGUUUGGUUCAAGUUAUAUAAUAUUAUAGAGUAUUUCGAUAUAUCCAAGUAUCUUGAAUUUCUAAAAGAGAUUAUUACUUAUGCUGCAUUAGUGCGUUUGGUUUAAUACAGUAAUGUAAUACUAGAUUGCAGUGAUUAUAGCAUUAAUAUGUUUGGUUCAGUUUAUAAAAUUUAGUAAUGCUGACAUAAAAGUAUAGUUUUUUUCAAAAUUGUCCUUGUUGUGGUCAUUUGAAUAUUAUUUUUUGCGAAAAUGACGAAUGGAGGGAAGGAGNAAGGAACUACAUAGAAUUUGUGAAGGCCUUAAUGAUUCAUUGCUUUUGUGAGACCUUACUUUUCAGAGGGUCACCCAUCUAAAGACUACUUUAGUCCUAACACGCUUAAUUCUUUUAAUCUUUUGGGCCUAGUACAAUGCAAAAUGCUAUAGCUAGGUUAAGAGGUUUAGUCUUAUAUAUUAUAUAUCAUAUAUAGGACUAUUCCAAAUUUUAGGGUCAUAUUCCUUUCCUCUUUAUGCCUUGAUGUUCUUGUCAGGCUCAAUCAUACUCACAAGGACCAU